UACACUCCUGCGGGAGGCAGCAGUGGGGAAUAUUGCACAAUGGGCGCAAGCCUGAUGCAGCCAUGCCGCGUGUAUGAAGAAAGCCUUCGGGUUGUAAAGUACUUUCAGCGGGGAGGAAGGCGAUAAGGUUAAUAACCUUGUCGAUUGACGUUACCCGCAGAAGAAGCACCGGCUAACUCCGUGCCAGCAGCCGCGGUAAUACGGAGGGUGCAAGCGUUAAUCGGAAUUACUGGGCGUAAAGCGCACGCAGGCGGUCUGUCAAGUCGGAUGUGAAAUCCCCGGGCUCAACCUGGGAACUGCAUUCGAAACUGGCAGGCUAGAGUCUUGUAGAGGGGGGUAGAAUUCCAGGUGUAGCGGUGAAAUGCGUAGAGAUCUGGAGGAAUACCGGUGGCGAAGGCGGCCCCCUGGACAAAGACUGACGCUCAGGUGCGAAAGCGUGGGGAGCAAACAGGAUUAGAUACCCGUGUAGUCCCAUG
rnacentral:rRNA from 1 species